rnacentral:rRNA from 1 species
GGGUUGUGAGGUUAAGCGAAUAAGCGUACACGGUGGAUGCCUAGGCAAUCAGAGGCGAUGAAGGACGUGCUAAUCUGCGAAAAGCGUCGGUAAGGUGAUAUGAACCGUUAUACCCGACGAUAUCCGAAUGGGGAAACCCAGUAUCCAAUGGAUACUAUCAUUAACUGAAUCCAUAGGUUAAUGAGGCGAACCGGGAGAACUGAAACAUCUCAGUACCCCGAGGAAAAGAAAUCAACCGAGAUUCCCCUAGUAGCGGCGAGCGAACGGGGAGCAGCCCAGAGUCUUAAUCAAUAGCAGUGUCAGGAGAACGGUCUGGAAAGUCCGGCAGUAAAGGGUGAUAGCCCCGUAUCUGAAGAUGCUGUUAUUGUGAACUCGACGAGUAGGGCGGGACACGUGUUAUCCUGUCUGAAUAUGGGGGGACCAUCCUCCAAGGCUAAAUACUCCUGAUUGACCGAUAGUGAACCAGUACCGUGAGGGAAAGGCGAAAAGAACCCCGGCGAGGGGAGUGAAAAAGAACCUGAAACCGUGUACGUACAAGCAGUAGGAGCCUCUUUAUGGGGUGACUGCGUACCUUUUGUAUAAUGGGUCAGCGACUUAUAUUCUGUAGCGAGGUUAACCGUAUAGGGGAGCCGUAGGGAAACCGAGUCUUAACUGGGCGAAUGAGUUGCAGGGUAUAGACCCGAAACCCGGUGAUCUAUCCAUGGGCAGGUUGAAGGUUGGGUAACACUAACUGGAGGACCGAACCGACUAAUGUUGAAAAAUUAGCGGAUGACUUGUGGAUGGGGGUGAAAGGCCAAUCAAACCGGGAGAUAGCUGGUUCUCCCCGAAAGCUAUUUAGGUAGCGCCUCGUGAAUUCAUCUUCGGGGGUAGAGCACUGUUUCGACUAGGGGGUCAUCCCGACUUACCAACUCGAUGCAAACUGCGAAUACCGAAGAAUGUUAUCACGGGAGACACACGGCGGGUGCUAACGUCCGUCGUGAAGAGGGAAACAACCCAGACCGCCAGCUAAGGUCCCAAAGUCAUGGUUAAGUGGGAAACGAAGUGGGAAGGCUCAGACAGCCAGGAUGUUGGCUUAGAAGCAGCCAUCAUUUAAAGAAAGCGUAAUAGCUCACUGGUCGAGUCGGCCCGCGCGGAAGAUGUAACGGGGCUAAACCAUGCACCGAAGCUGCGGCAGCGACACAAUGUGUUGUUGGGUAGGGGAGCGUUCUGUAAGCCUGCGAAGGUGUACUGUGAGGUAUGCUGGAGGUAUCAGAAGUGCGAAUGCUGACAUAAGUAACGAUAAUGCGGGUGAAAAACCCGCACGCCGGAAGACCAAGGGUUCCUGUCCAACGUUAAUCGGGGCAGGGUGAGUCGACCCCUAAGGCGAGGCUGAAAAGCGUAGUCGAUGGGAAACGGGUUAAUAUUCCCGUACUGGUGGUAACUGCGAUGGGGGAACGGAGAAGGCUAGGUUGUCCGGGCGACGGUCGUCCCGGUUCAAGCAGGUAGGCAGAGUGAUUAGGCAAAUCCGGUCACUUAAUGCUGAGAUGUGAUGACGAACCACUAAGGUGGUGAAGCAAUUGAUGCCCCGCUUCCAGGAAAAGCCUCUAAGCUUCAGGUUACCAACAAUCGUACCCCAAACCGACACAGGUGGUCAGGUAGAGAAUACUCAGGCGCUUGAGAGAACUCGGGUGAAGGAACUAGGCAAAAUGGUGCCGUAACUUCGGGAGAAGGCACGCUGGCGGUAGGUAAAGUCCCUCGCGGACGGCGCUGAAGCCAGUCGAAGAUACCAGCUGGCUGCAACUGUUUAUUAAAAACACAGCACUGUGCAAACACGAAAGUGGACGUAUACGGUGUGACGCCUGCCCGGUGCUGGAAGGUUAAUUGAUGGGGUUAGCGCAAGCGAAGCUCCUGAUCGAAGCCCCAGUAAACGGCGGCCGUAACUAUAACGGUCCUAAGGUAGCGAAAUUCCUUGUCGGGUAAGUUCCGACCUGCACGAAUGGCGUAAUGAUGGCCAGGCUGUCUCCACCCGAGACUCAGUGAAAUUGAACUCGCUGUGAAGAUGCAGUGUACCCGCGGCAAGACGGAAAGACCCCGUGAACCUUUACUAUAGCUUGACACUGAACAUUGAGCCUUGAUGUGUAGGAUAGGUGGGAGGCUUUGAAGUGUGGACGCCAGUCUGCAUGGAGCCAACCUUGAAAUACCACCCUUUAACGUUUGAUGUUCUAACCUAGGCCCAUAAACUGGGUCGGGGACCGUGUCUGGUGGGUAGUUUGACUGGGGCGGUCUCCUCCUAAAGAGUAACGGAGGAGCACGAAGGUUGGCUAAGCAUGGUCGGACAUCAUGCGGUUAGUGCAAAGGCAUAAGCCAGCUUGACUGCGAGAGUGACGGCUCGAGCAGGUACGAAAGUAGGUCUUAGUGAUCCGGUGGUUCUGAAUGGAAGGGCCAUCGCUCAACGGAUAAAAGGUACUCCGGGGAUAACAGGCUGAUACCGCCCAAGAGUUCAUAUCGACGGCGGUGUUUGGCACCUCGAUGUCGGCUCAUCACAUCCUGGGGCUGAAGUAGGUCCCAAGGGUAUGGCUGUUCGCCAUUUAAAGUGGUACGCGAGCUGGGUUUAGAACGUCGUGAGACAGUUCGGUCCCUAUCUGCCGUGGGCGUUGGAAGAUUGAGAGGGGUUGCUCCUAGUACGAGAGGACCGGAGUGAACGCACCACUGGUGUUCGGGUUGUCAUGCCAAUGGCAUUGCCCGGUAGCUAAGUGCGGAAGAGAUAACCGCUGAAAGCAUCUAAGCGGGAAACUUGCCUCGAGAUGAGUCUUCCCUGUCGCUUUAAGCGACCUAAAGGAACGUUUAAGACUAAGACGUUGAUAGGCUGGGUGUGUAAGCGUAGCGAUACGUUGAGCUAACCAGUACUAAUGAACCGUGAGGCUUAACCUGACAACACCGAAAGUGUUUUG